GCCGGUGUCAGUUGGGUUUAUUUGUUCCAGAAAGUGCAGUUCCAUUGAAUUGGCAAUGAUCUCAUAUUUUCAAGAAGUGUAAGCGAAAUUUUGCUUUGGUCCUUUCGAACAUCGAAUGCAUACCCUAUGGAAAUUACGUGCAACAAAUAUCAUGUACUUUCAACAAAAUACCAAUAGCUCAUAUGAAUAUUGACAUUCAAAUGAUGAAACGAGUUGAUGAUCUUCGUUUGGAUUUUAUCGUACAUUUAGAAAGACCAACAAACUCUUAUAUACUCUUAAGAUCCUUAGGUAUCAAAACUUGUGAUUUAUUUCAUAAGGAUAUAAAAAAUCCAAUUUUAAGAGCAUAUAAAAUACUACUGAGUCGAACAGGUCCAUUACCAGAAACUUGUCCAAUUAGAAAGGAUUUUCAUUACCAAUUUCGAAAUAUGACACUGGAUGCUGAAGACUUUCCAUCGUUUGUACCGGAGGCUUCAUUUAAAGUGAUUGUCAUUUUAUAUGAUAGAAAAUUUAUGUAUUUGCAUACAAAAACUUUGGGUCAAAUUGUUCACAAGCAGACGAAAUUAAAAAAAAGGAAAUAUGGAAAGUUACAAAUUAAACAACAAAUUAAUUGAAUUAUAUAUUAUUAAUGUGCUAAA